rnacentral:tRNA from 1 species
GGUGUGGCUUAGCUUGGUAGAGCGCCUGGUUUGGGACCAGGAGGUCGCAGGUUCGAAUCCUGUCACC